ACAGAAAUAGUGCCUUCUCCUGUCUGAUAGCCUGUAAGUUCUAAUAUUAACUUUAAGAGCUAAUUUUGAUCACAUAUUUGCUCAGCUUAUUGAUCCAUAGAAGGAGUGCCAGAAGUUAAAACGUGAAAGUGAGGGAACUAUGAACUAGGCACACAAAGCCUAUACAGAGUGUCAUGACCCAGACUGUAAAUCAUUCAUCUGGUAUUAAGUCAUGUCUUCUCUGAGAAUGAGGAUAUCUGCUGCGUUUGCAGUAUGCGGGAAGCUAACCAGGAGAAGUUCCAGAGAGAUUAAUAGAAUGAAGGAGACUACAUCUUGAAGAAAGAGGUAUCUUCUAACUGUGACACGUUUUAUUGUGGUUGCUGAUAAAAAUAAGAGAGAAUAUUAAAACUCAGUUGGCAGCAGAAGUAUUCAGAGACUAUGUGAAACAUUAAAUUGUACAAGAAACUGUAUCUGGCUGACCUGAGAGGAGUGAGAAUUCACAACAUACACAAGCAAAUGCCAUAAUCCUCUACCAGAUAACUGUUCUUCCACCACUUCACCAUAACGCAAAAGAUACAAGUGCUCAGAAGCCUAUUUCUAUAACAAACUACAGUUUUUAUUCAAGUGUCACUGCUGCUUCACCAGUUAAUGGAGAAAAUAGGUUCUCACCUGACCAGCUAUGGACAGAGAAUCAUGGCAGUUACUGACCACUGUGCCCUAAGAGAUGACAACAGAAUCUGGGUUAUUAGAGAAAAUUAGAGGAUCCAGUUGUUCCACAUGGAUUCAGAAGCCAAAGUUUUGUAACAGUAUCUCCUACCUUCAGCACUGGAUUACAGAGAACAGUCAUAACAGUUUCUUAAUAAAGCUCUGGCCUUCA